UACACUCCUACGGGAGGCAGCAGUGGGGAAUUUUGGACAAUGGGCGAAAGCCUGAUCCAGCAAUGCCGCGUGAGUGAAGAAGGCCUUCGGGUUGUAAAGCUCUUUUGUCAGGGAAGAAACGGUGAGAGCUAAUAUCUCUUGCUAAUGACGGUACCUGAAGAAUAAGCACCGGCUAACUACGUGCCAGCAGCCGCGGUAAUACGUAGGGUGCAAGCGUGAAUCGGAAUUACUGGGCGUAAAGCGUGCGCAGGCGGUGUUGUAAGUCUGAUGUGAAAUCCCCGGGCUCAACCUGGGAAUUGCAUUGGAGACUGCAAGGCUAGAAUCUGGCAGAGGGGGGUAGAAUUCCACGUGUAGCAGUGAAAUGCGUAGAUAUGUGGAGGAACACCGAUGGCGAAGGCAGCCCCCUGGGUCAAGAUUGACGCUCAUGCACGAAAGCGUGGGGAGCAAACAGGAUUAGAAACCCUGGUAGUCC
rnacentral:rRNA from 1 species